ensembl:lncRNA
GGAGGUAGCGGUCCUGCUGCUGGGUUGUUGCCCUCCUACGGCCUCCUCCACGUCUCCUGAUGUACUGGCCUGUCUCCUGGUAGCGCCUCCAUGCUCUGGACACUACGCUGACAGACACAGCAAACCUUCUUGCCACAGCUCGCAUUGAUGUGCCAUCCUGGAUGAGCUGCACUACCUGAGGCACUUGUGUGGGUUGUAGACUCCAUCUCAUGCUACCACUAGAGUGAAAGCACUGCCAGCAUUCAAAAGUGACCAAAACAUCAGCCAGGAAGCAUAGGAACUGAGAAGUGGUCUGUGGUCCCCACCUGCAGAACCACUCCUUUAUUGGGGGUGUCUUGCUAAUUGCCUAUAAUUUCCACCUGUUGUCUAUUCCAUUUGCACAACAGCAUGUGAAAUGUAUUGUCAAUCAGUGUUGCUUCCUAAGUGGACAGUUUCAUUUCACAGAAGUGUGAUUGACUUGGAGUUACAUUGUGUUGUUUAAGUGUUCCCUUUAUUUUUUUGAGCAGUGUAUACUAUAAGUUAUACAGAUAAUAUAUCUGUAUCUUACUGUAGUGUAUCUGGUGAUGGAUUCUGGGUACUAACUCCUAAAAUUGGGACAGGGUUAAUAAUCAGGUGUACUAUUGAAAUAUUGAGUGCUUAGGGUUAGAGGGUCUACACCAGAAGUUCAUGGUUCAUCUCUUGGAGGAAGGUAUAUAGUGGGUGCUAUUAAGCUUGGAAUGUGUUGAGUGCAGGGAAAGCGAUCGCCUGUGUCAGACAUUGAUAAGAAGAGUGAGCACUUUGGGGUAAGAGGUCAAUUGAAAAGAGGAAGAAGAGAUAUCACUAAGGUUCUGUCUAGCAACAGAGAUUCAUUGGCUGUUCAGAUGUGUGGGAGGAGAUUCAGGAGGAAGGGUUAAACAUCAGUGCUUGUGUGACAUGACGUUGUAUUGAUCCUCUGGGAAGAAUAAACUUCGUGUCCGUCACGUUUUUACUCUGAAAAUUUGAACCUAACACUGUAUAACUACUAUAGUGUAUCUGUGUGACUUACUGUAGUGUACAGUGGCUUGUGAAAGUAUUCACCCACCUUGGCAUUUUCCUAUUUUGUUGCCUUACAACCUGGAAUUAAAAUACAUUUUUGGGGAGGUUUUUGUCAUUUGAUUUACACAACAUUCCUACCACUUUGAAGAUUAAAAAUAUUUUGAGGGGGUGAAACAAACAAGAAAUGAGACAAAAAACACAGAACUUGAGCGUGCAUAACUAUUCAUAACUAGUUUUUAAUCAUGGAUUUAAUGGUGGUCUGUGGGAUGUUAAAAGUUUCAGAUUAUUUUUUUAUAACCCAACCCUGAUCUGAACUUCUCCACAACCUUGUCUCUGACCUGUUUGGAGAGCUCCUUUGCCUUCAUGGGUCAGCUUGCUUGGUGGUGCCCCUUGCUUGGUGGUGCCCCUUGCUUGGUGGUGCCCCUUGCUUGGUGGUGCCCCUUGCUUGGUGGUGCCCCUUGCUUAGUGGUGUUGCAGACUCUGGGGCCUUUCAGAACAGGUGUGUGUAUAUAUACUGAGAUCAUGUGACAGAUCAUGUGACACUUAGAUUGCACACAGGUGGACUUUAUUUAACUAAUUAUGUAACUUCUGAAGGUAAUUGGUUGCACCAGAUCUUAUCUAGGGGCUUCAUAGCACAGGGGGUGAAUAGAUAAUACAUAUACACACUGUCACGCCCUGACCUUAGUUAUCUUUGUCUUCUUUAUUAUUUUGGUUAGGUCAGGGUGUGACGAAGGUGGUAUGUGUUGUCUUGUCUAGGUUUUUUUUGUAUAUCUAUGGGGUUUUGGUAUUGUCUAGGUAAAUGUAGGUCUAUGGUGGCCCUAAAUUGGUUCCCAAUCAGAGACAGCUGUUUAUCGUUGUCUCUGAUUGGGGAUCCUACUUAGGUUCCCAUUUUGGUUUUGUGGGUUAUUGUCUAUGUGUAGUUGCCUGUGUCAAACCGAGUGCUAUCACAGCGUCCCGUUCGUUUUGUUAGUUUGUCUAAGUGGUCUUUGUUAAUUAAAGAAGAAUGUAUUCCUAUCAUGCUGCGCCUUGGUCUCCUCCUUAUGAUGAAUGUGACAGAAUAACCCACCAAACCAGGACCAAGCAGCGUGAAAAGGAGGAACAGCGCUUAAUGGAGAGAUGGACCUGGGAGGAGAUAUUAGAUGGAGCAGGACCCUGGACACAGCCGGGGGAGUAUCGGCGUCCUAAGGAGGAGUUAGAGGCAGCGAAAGCGGAACGGCGACACUACGAGGAGGAAUCCCGGAGAAUAGAGGAACGGUGACGAUAUGAAGGUACACGGCACGGAAGCCCGAGAGGCAGCUCCAAGAUGUUUUUGGGGGGAGGCACACCAGGUGAUUGGCUGAGUCAGGUAGGAGACCUGAGCCAACUCCUCGUGCUUACCGUGGGGAGCUUGUUAUGCAGAGAUGCGCACGGUGUCUCCAGUGCGCUAUUCUAGCCCGGUGCGGUCUAUUCCAGCUCCUCGCAUUUGCCGGGAUAGAAGGGGCAUCCAGCCAGGACGUAUUGAGCCAGCUCUAUGUUCUGGAUCUCCAAUGCGUCUCCACGGUCCAGUGUAUCCUGUUCCUCCUCCCCGCACUCGCCCUGAGGUGCGUGUCACCAGCCCGGUACCUCCGGCACCACACAUCAGGCCUCCAGUGUCCAGCACUCCCUGCUCCCCAACCUCGCCCUGAGGUGUGUGUCACCAGCCCGGUCCCAACAGUGCCGGCACCAGGCCUACAGUGCGCCUCGGCAGUCUAGAGCGUCUGGCGACCAGUAUUACAGUCCCAGAGCGUCUGGCGACCAGUAUUACAGUCCCAGAGCGUCUGGCGACGAUCCACGGGUCUGUGUUACAAGGGAGGACUCAGUGUAAAGAAGGGGGGCGGCGUCAGAACCAGAGCCGCCACCAAGAAAUUGCAGAAUUGAAUCCACAACAGUAGAAAUCAAGUCCCAAGCUUCUCCAGUGGUGAGGAAGACAAGUUACUGCGUUGCUGGUCCAUACGGCUGGGCAACAUGAGGACAUUGGUACUGCCAAAAUACUGAGAGCUAUACUGCUACCAGUAAUCUUGCAUGGAAGCUGAUAUGUGAUGCUAGUGAUCUAUGUCCAAUAUCCAGUGUUUAGGUCCAGGUGUUUAUAAAAAAAUAAUUGACUUAACGUAAGGGGAGAUCAAAUUGAGACGCUAAGAUAUAUGAAACACUUGAAGAAAAGAACCCGGACACAGAUACAACUGUAGACACAAAAGGUGUUGUUGGACAGUGAACCGGUCACUGAACCUGCAUGUGUUGCGUUAUAAUGAAAGUGGUUUUGUCAUAAUGUGUUUUAGUAUUGUCUAUGUGUCCCAACAUAUCACAGACACACAGACAAUGACAAUGACGGAAGAAACAAUCAAACCUCAUUCAAACUUAGACAGGUAUGGAUAGAGAUCACAGGUGGUUGGUGGCACCUUCAUUGGGGAGGACGGCCUCGUGGUAAUGGCCGGAGCGAAAUCAUUGGAACGGUAUCAAAUACAUCAAACAUAUGGUUUGAUGCCAUUUCAUUCGCUCCGUUCCAGACGUCAUUAUGAGCCGUCCUCCCCUCAACAGCCUCCACUGAUAGAGAUUCAGGUUCUUUCUGUAUCUAACUUGCAGGUCUGCCGUUCAUCGCGGUAGUGAAUGUCUUGUCUCACUGUAUUUUAUGGCUGAGUGAAUGUCAUGUCUGACUGUAUUUUUAUGGCUGAGUGAAUGUCUUGUCUGACUGUAUUUUUAUGGCUGAGUGAAUGUCAUGUCUCAUUGAUGGAAGAUGUUACAGUGCCUAUAGAAAGUUGACACUCCCCUAUGAAUUUUUUUUCACAUUCCGUUGCUUUACAAAGCCUGCUCGCCUCUACAGGAUUGGUGGGUCCCCCUCGGAGACGGUUGAGCUAACGUAGGCUAGUGUGAUUAGCAUGAGGUUGUAAGUAACAAGAACAUUUCCCAGGACAUAUCUGAUAUGGGCAGAAAGGUUAAAUUCUUGUUUAAUCUAACUGCACUGUCGAAUUACAAAGCCUGCUAGCUAAAAACGUUAACUCACAAUGACAGAUAAACGAUUAUAGAAUAUAACUGUGAACUACAGAGCGUGGGUCGCUUGGGGGUUACCCUACGGUAGCCCCAGUUAGAUCAGGCUACUCAACGUGUUUUAUAGAGUUUUUAUUUGUUUUGUCUUUUUUUUUUUUUUUUUUUUUUUUUUGGAGGGGUUUACAGGAACAAUAUAUAUUUCAAUGAAUAUGUUCUGUGUAUAACAUGUACCUGUGGGCUGUCAACCAAAAGAAAAACUGAAGUAAGAAAUACAUACAGAGAAAUGAUCAUAUUGAUCAAGAAAAUAUUUUGUAGAAGUAUAAUUCAUAUGUAAAUAAACAACCUGCAACCCUGCAUACCUAUUUCUGCCCAUUCCACUUAUCUCCUAAGCCCCUCCCCCCUCUACUAGCCCCCUGAACAUCCAAGGUUGCUUGUCAACUGAGGAUGUUUUUACACUCCCCUUCCCCCAGAGAACACCCUUGCCACACCACCCCUUCCACACACACCCUUCCACAUGGGCCUGAAAGCAAAGAUAGUUUCAUGCUGAAUAGCCACCACUAGUCAGCCCCCCAAUUGCUACAGUUGAUAUGUUUUAUUUAAAUUAUUACUUGUAUUGUUUUUGUGGCAGGUAGCCUAGUGAUCAGAGCAGUGGCUCAAAUCCCCAAGCUGACAAGGUGAAAACUGUCGUUCUACCCCUGAACAAGUUCACAGUUCCUAGGCCGUCAUUGAAAAUAUGAAUUUGUUCUUAACUGACUUGCCUAGUAAAAUGAAUUGUUCGAGGUCUGAGUUUAAUAUUUAAACUGUACCCUGUAAUUACAUCUGCAAAUCUGAACAUCUGAUUAAUAAACUUAGAUAUUUUUA